rnacentral:rRNA from 1 species
CCAAUAGCGUAUAUUAAAAUUGUUGCAGUUAAAAAGCUCGUAGUUGAAUUUCGGGAUUAGUACGCUGGUCGUGCCUUCGGUAUGUACUGGUGUUACUGAUUCCUACCUUCUGACGAACCGUCAUGUCAUUAAUUUGGUGUGGCGGGGAAUCAGGACUGUUACUUUGAAAAAAUUAGAGUGUUUAAAGCAGGCUCGCGCUUGAAUACAUUAGCAUGGAAUAAUGAAAUAGGACGUUCGAUCCUAUUUUGUUGGUUUCUAGGAUUGACGUAAUGAUGAAUAGGGAUAGUUGGGGGGAUUAGUAGUCAAUUGUCAGAGGUGAAAUUCUUGGAUUUAGUGAAGACUAACUACUGCGAAAGCAUUUGCCAAGGAUGUUUUCAUUAAUCAAGAACGAAAGUUAGGGGAUCGAAGACGAUCAGAUACCGUCGUAGUCUUAACCAUAAACUAUGCCGACUAGGGAUCGGAUGAUGUUAAUUUUUUAAUGACUCAUUCGGCGCCUUACG